rnacentral:tRNA from 6 species
GCGGGUAUGGUAUAGUGGCUAUUACAUCACCUUGCCAAGGUGGAUAGACGGGUUCGAUUCCCGUUACCCGCUCCA